rnacentral:rRNA from 1 species
UACGUAGGGCGCGAGCGUUGUCCGGAAUUAUUGGGCGUAAAGAGCUCGUAGGCGGCUUGUCGCGUCGGAUGUGAAAGCCCGGGGCUUAACUCCGGGUCUGCAUUCGAUACGGGCAGGCUAGAGUUCGGUAGGGGAGAUCGGAAUUCCUGGUGUAGCGGUGAAAUGCGCAGAUAUCAGGAGGAACACCGGUGGCGAAGGCGGAUCUCUGGGCCGAUACUGACGCUGAGGAGCGAAAGCGUGGGGAGCAAAAGGG